UCUCAACUCACGCGCAAAUAUCUUAAAGGGCAAGAAAGGCUACUCGUAUCCAUAUUUAUUCCUAGCAUUAAUAUAUUUUUAGCCACACCUGAACAAGUUGUCUUUACAAACAGACGUCUUUAAAAUGAAGUUUCUAUAUAUUUUGUUGAUUUUCUUUGUGUUCGGCUAUAGUUAUGGGCAAGAGAUUGCAGAUGGAACUGCUGCUGCGCCACGCAGCCCAAUAAUUCCUGUUGAUUAUAUUAUAAACAAGAUCAAUGAGAAGCCGAAUGCUAAUUUACCAGGCCAGCAAGUACCCGCUCCAUAUUUAGCGAGUUACACUCAAAUACAAAACCAAUAUGACAUGAAUAAAGCAUCAACUGAAGGGAAGAAAAACGCUUAAAAAGUGAACAUCUGAGAACUUUAAUUCAGACAAGUUUUGAUAAAAGCAUCAGAA